rnacentral:piRNA from 1 species
UUUGGGAACGCCUCCGAGUCUAAAUCGCUCU